UAUGUUAAGGUAAGUUGUUGUUUUUGUUGAUAAAUGUUGUGUUUUGUGUUACUGUAGAUGUUUUUUUAUUAGACUUAUUUAUGUUUUUUUGGAGGUAUGUUGUUGUUUUGUUAAGGUAAUUUGUUGUUUAUGUUAAGGUAAGUUGGUGUUUUUGUUGAUAAAUGUUGUUGUUUGUGUUAUUGUAGAUGUUUUUUAUUAGGUAUUUUUAUUUUUGUGUGGAGGUAUGUUUUCUUUUUUAUUAAGGUAAAUUGUUGUUUAUGUUAAGGUAAGUUGUUGUUUUUAUUGAUAAAUGUUGUUGUUUGUGUUAUCGUAGAUGUUUUUAAUUAGGUAUGUUGAUGUUUUUGUUGAGGUAAUUUGUUGUUUGUUAAGGUAAUUUGUUGUUUAUGUUAAGGUAAGUUGUUGUUUUUGUUGAUAAAAGUUGUUGUUUGUGUUAUUGUAGGUGUUUUUUAUUAGGUAUGUUGAUAUUUCUGUGGAGUUAUUAGUUUGUUGUUUAUGUUAAGGUAAGUUGUUUUUUAUAAAUGUUGUUGUUUUUGUUAUUUUAGACGUUUUUGUUGAAGUAUGUUCAUGUUUUUCUUGAUAAAUAUUAUUGUUGUGUUAUUUGUUAAUGUUAUUCAUUGUACAUUCUAGCUUUUAUUUUCUUCAACCAACAUGUUAUAUAAGAUGAGUUUAUU
rnacentral:lncRNA from 1 species